UCAUUUUAGCUGCAUUGUGUACAUACUACAUAGUCAUGAAACCUUUCAAGCUACUCUUGUUGAGACUAGCAUCUGGCCAGGAUCUCCAUCUACAAGUUGUGUCUCGUAUUAUAGCACACAGGUAGCUAGUAUUUGAGAUGGAGAGGAGUGCUACAGUAUGCACUCUAUCGAUGAACCUAGAGGACGAUUACGGCCGACAGUGGAUUUGGUAUUCAGGACUUCUUUGGUUGCUCCAUCCAAACAAUAACAAUAUCAGUAACAAAAGUAUCAUCAAGAAGUAGCUGUGCAGCUAUACCAAGGCCAUUUCAAAGUUUACUCGCUGCUAGUUACCCUCCACACAUUGGAGUCUGGGAAUGAUGAUUGGGGUCUGCCAUCCCGGCCUCAAGGUCAAGGGUUACACAGCCUUUCCUCACUCAUGGGCCUAGUAGUCAUGGUUUGUCCUGGUCGUUGCGUAAGGGGUGAUCUCCCUGUUUCACUGCGACAGCUAGAUAUAUUACGCUUUAGUGCAGAGCUACAAGAGGGAAUCAAGAAAUUAG